rnacentral:rRNA from 1 species
UGGGGAAUAUUGGACAAUGGAGGAACCUCUGAUCCAGCAAUUCUGUGUGUGUGAAGAAGGUUUUAGGACUGUAAAACACUUUUAGUAGGGAAGAAAAAAAUGACGGUACCUACAGAAGAAGCAACGGCUAACUACGUGCCAGCAGCCGCGGUAAUACGUAGGUGGCAAGCGUUGUCCGGAUUCAUUGGGCGUAAAGCGCGCGCAGGCGGCCCGCCAAGCGGCCUCGUCGAAGCCGGGGGGUCAACCCCCGGAAGCGCCCCGUAAUGGCGGGAUCGAGUGGGGCAGGGGAGGAUGGAAUUACCGGUGGAGCGGUGAAAUGAGCAGAUAGCGGGGGGAACACCGACGGCGAAGGCAGCCCUCUGGGCCUUCACUGCCGCUGAGGCGCGAAAGCUGGGGGAGCGAACAGG